rnacentral:rRNA from 1 species
UACGUAGGGUGCAAGCGUUUAAUCGGAAUUACUGGGCGUAAAGCGUGCGCAGGCGGUUAUGUAAGACAGUUGUGAAAUCCCCGGGCUCAACCUGGGAACUGCAUCUGUGACUGCAUAGCUAGAGUACGGUAGAGGGGGAUGGAAUUCCGCGUGUAGCAGUGAAAUGCGUAGAUAUGCGGAGGAACACCGAUGGCGAAGGCAAUCCCCCUGGGCCUGCACUGACGCUCAUGCACGAAAGCGUGGGGAGCAAACAGG